rnacentral:rRNA from 1 species
CCUGGCUCAGGAUGAACGCUAGCGGCAGGCCUAACACAUGCAAGUCGAGGGAGGAGCUUUCGGGCUUCGACCGGCGUACGGGUGCGUAACGCGUAUACAAUCUGCCUUUCACAUAGGGAUAGCCCGAAGAAAUUUGGAUUAAUACCUAAUAGUAUAUAGAUGUGGCAUCACAUUUAUAUUAAAGCUGAGGCGGUGAAAGAUGAGUAUGCGUUCUAUUAGCUAGUUGGAGAGGUAACGGCUCCCCAAGGCUACGAUAGAUAGGGGUUCUGAGAGGGAUAUCCCCCACACUGG